rnacentral:rRNA from 1 species
UCGAGAAUAUUUGACAAUGGGCGAAAGCCUGAUCGAGCGACGCCGCGUGCAGGACGAAGGCCUUCGGGUCGUAAACUGCGGUAGUCCAUUAAUAACGCAAGUGAAUGAUGGACGGAAAGAGGUGGGUAACUACGUGCCAGCACCAGCGGUAAUACGUAGACCUCGAGCAUUAUCCGAAUUUAUUGGGCGUAAAGCGUGUGUAGGAGGUUGUGUGCGUCUGAGGUUAAAUCCCACCGCCUAACGGUGGAUCUGCCCUGGAUACGACACGACUAGAGGAGGUUAGAGGUGAGCGGAAUGCACGGUGUAGGGGUGAAAUCCGUUGAUAUCGUGCAGAACACCAAAGGCGAAGGCAGCUCACUGGGACCUUCCUGACUCUGAGACACGAAAGCGUGGGGAGCAAAAAGG